rnacentral:rRNA from 1 species
AAGUGAAAACAGGCGAUAAAUCAUUCAAGUUUCUGACCUAUCAGCUUUCGACGGUAUGGUAUUGGCUUACCGUGGCAGUGACGGUUAACGGGGGAUUAGGGUUCGAUUCCGGAGAGGGAGCCUGAGAAACGGCUACCACAUCUAAGGAAGGCAGCAGGCGCGCAAAUUACCCAAUUCUAACAGUUUGAGAGAGGCAGUAACAAGAAAUAACAAUACAAGGCAGUUAAAAUGCUUUGUAAUUGGAAUGAUAGAAAUUUAAACCCUUUUUAAAGUAUCAAUUGGAGGGCAAGUCUGGUGCCAGCAGCCGCGGUAAUUCCAGCUCCAAUAGCGUAUAUUAAAAUUGUUGCAGUUAAAAAGCUCGUAGUUGAAGUUCUGCUGAAAGUAACCGGUCUGCUUUUAAUAAAAGUGGUAUCUUGGUAUGUAUUUAGCAAUGAUGUCCUUUGAAGUGUUUUUUACUUUAUUGUAAUAAAGCAUAUUCAGGACUUUUACUUUGAGAAAAUUAGAGUGUUUCUAGCAGGCUGACGCUUUGAAUA